rnacentral:rRNA from 1 species
CCUANGGGGGGCUGCAGUCGAGAAUAUUCGGCAAUGGGCGAAAGCCUGACCGAGCGACGCCGCGUGCGGGAUGAAGGCCUUCGGGUUGUAAACCGCUUUUCUACGGGAAAAAUUACGAUGAUGGUACCGUAGGAAUAAGAGGUUACUAACUCUGUGCCAGCAGUAGCGGUAAUACAGAGACCUCAAGCGUUAUCCGGAUUUAUUGGGCGUAAAGCGCAGGUAGGCGGCUGUGUUAGUCGUGUGUCAAAGCUCCGGGCUCAACCUGGAAAAGGCAUUCGAAACGGCACAGCUCGAGAAUGUGAGAGAUCGGUGGAAUUCAUGGUGUAGUAGUGAAAUGCGUUGAUAUCAUGAGGAACACCCAAGGCGAAGGCAACCGAUUGGCACAUUUCUGACGCUCAGCUGCGAAAGCGUGGGUAGCGAAUGGGAUUAGAUACCCUNGUGUC